GACGAACGCUGGCGGCGUGCUUAACACAUGCAAGUCGAACGAUGAAGAAGAGCUUGCUCUUCGGAUUAGUGGCGAGCGGGUGAGUAACACGUGACUGACCUGCCCCUUUCUCUGGGAUAACGCUCCGAAAGGAGUGCUAAUACCGGAUACUCACAUCGAGGCACAUGCCUUGAUGUGGAAAGUUUUUCGGAAAGGGAUGGAGUCGCGGCCUAUCAGCUUGUUGGUGAGGUAACGGCUCACCAAGGCGACGACGGGUAGCCGGCCUGAGAGGGCGACCGGCCACACUGGGACUGAGACACGGCCCAGACUCCUACGGGAGGCAGCAGUGGGGAAUAUUGCACAAUGGGCGAAAGCCUGAUGCAGCGACGCCGCGUGAGGGAUGAAGGUCUUCGGAUUGUAAACCUCUUUCAGUAGGGACGAAGCGAAAGUGACGGUACCUAAAGAAGAAGCACCGGCUAACUACGUGCCAGCCGCCGCCGUAA
rnacentral:rRNA from 1 species